rnacentral:lncRNA from 8 species
GCUUUAAAUGCUAAUUUGCCAUCUCUGGCUACCCAGAGUUCGCUCUCAAAUUUCAAAAAAAGUAGCUAUGAACUCACAUUUCCCAUUUGAGACAGACAGGUGUUAAAAAUACAAAUAAUUCAGAUGUCACAAUGACAGCUGUAAUCUUGGCAUCGCAUGAGCUACUCUCGUGAGGUGAUGAAGAACUGCACAGGGAUGAGGAGAGCAGCCAAAAUGAAGGAGAAGGAAGAAUGUUGUUCUUCACAGAUCACGGCGUAAGUAGUGGGUCUCACCUAUCAGUUGUCCAGGGGCCAUGAGGGAACACAGCCCAGAUUGGCUCUGCGGUACUGCACUGCUGCUCAACUCCUCAGAAUGGUAGGUCAUGCAGGUCUUGAGUUGUGAUGGGCGGAAAGGUGAGGCAGGAUGUUCUUAUUUACAGUUCCUGCCACAGAGAGCUGCCAGAGCCAUUUGUUGCAGUGAUUGAGGAAAACAGUCUGCUGCACAUCCACACGCCAUGGGGUGCUGCUUGGGAACAGAGGUCUCCUGCCACGUACAAAGUGUUGCCGUGAAUUCUUUCAAAGGUUAUUCACGUCAUUCAAAACCAAUAAAACAAUGCAAAUGUUUGAUGUAGAAUAGGUGAGGCCAACACGUCAUCAAUAAAUAUAUAUAUAAUGUAGGCUAUUCACAUGUCAUAUACAGUGAAAUAAUGUAGAACUUGAUUCUAGAACGUCACACUGUCACUGCAGUUUGUCUUUGACGUUGCGUCCUUC